GCUUGAAGCCAGUGACAAUGUCGGCCGCGAACUCGCUUCGGCUGCUCAGCCCUCUCAAGGCUGAAACAGGGGUUCGAUUCCCCUAGGGAGCGCCA
rnacentral:tRNA from 1 species